UCCGAUCACGAGGUGGGCCCCGUGAGGCGUU
rnacentral:sRNA from 1 species